CCGGGUCAACAUAAACAUAUGGCUUUUUAGGCCCAAAUCCUACUUCAUCUCUAACCUAGAGACAAUCCCUUUAGCAUGAAUAGCAGACGGCGAUGAAAAAACAAAAAAACCAGAACUUGCAAAAUGGUCACUGUGUUUGUUGUAAGAGGAGGGCAAAAUUGAUAGUCGCCUACAGCUUGAUUUCUCCCUUCAAUUGUUUGCUCGUGAUUAGUUUUAGCUGCUGCUUCCUCAGCCUUCCUUUUUUCUUCUUCUCUCUGCUGUUUCUUCCUUGCCUCUAGCUCCAUUAAUUGCUUAAAUCUGCAAAAAAAGAGGAACGCAAUUACAACAGGUUAAAAUGAAAGUCAAGAUCAUACAUGGCAUGCUGUUGCUUCAUGGACUUGGGAUGCACAGGAUGAAACGUGUGGAAUUUGUAGGAUGGCGUUUGAUGGAUGUUGUCCUGAUUGUAAACUUCCUGGGGAUGACUGCCCACUCAUUUGGGGGGCAUGCAAUCACGC